GACUCACUAGCUCAACUGGCAGAGCAACUGACUCUUAAUCAGUAGGUUGUAGGUUCGAUUCCUACGUGGGUCACCA
rnacentral:tRNA from 7 species